rnacentral:rRNA from 1 species
CCUACGGGCGGCAGCAGUGAGGAAUAUUGGUCAAUGGGCGUGAGCCUGAACCAGCCAAGUAGCGUGAAGGAUGAAUGCCCUAUGGGUUGUAAACUUCUUUUAUAAAGGAAUAAAGUUAUGCACGUGUGCCUUUUUGCAUGUACUCUAUGAAUAAGGAUCGGCUAACUCCGUGCCAGCAGCCGCGGUAAUACGGAGGAUCCGAGCGUUAUCCGGAUUUAUUGGGUUUAAAGGGUGCGUAGGUGGUUUGUUAAGUCAGUUGUGAAAGUUUGUGGCUCAACCGUAAAAUUGCAAUUGAUACUGGCAGACUUGAGUGCAGUUGAGGUAGGCGGAAUGCGUGGUGUAGCGGUGAAAUGCAUAGAUAUCACGAAGAACUCCGAUUGCGAAGGCAGCUUACUAAGCUGCCACUGACAUUGAUGCUCGAAAGUGUGGGGAUCAAACAGGAUUAGAUACCCCAGUAGUC